CUCUUGCCCAGGCUAAACUCAGAAGUGGACACUGAGGGCCGGUUGUGGGUGCCACCAGGCAAGCUAGGGCAUCGGAGUUCAGCAGAGCUGGGUGGGAAUUCUGCUUCUCCCUCCACUACCUGGGUAACCCUGGGCAAGUCACUUAGCCUCUCCGAGCAUAAACUGGUUUGCUUGUAAUAUGCAAAUAAUAAGGGGUGGGGGAAAUUUUUUUUUUUUUUUUUGAGACAGAGUCUCGCUCUGUCACCCAGGCUGGAGUGCAGUGGCGUGAUCUCGGCUCAUUGCAACCUCCGCCUCCUGGGUUCAAGCAAUUCUCCUGCCUCAGCCUCCUGAGUAGCUGGGAUUACAGGCGCCCGCCACCACUCCCAGCUAAUUUUUGUAUUUUUAGUAGGGACGAGGUUUCACCAUGUUGGUCAGGCUGGUCUCAAACUCCUGACCUCGUGAUCUGCCCUCCUUGGCCUUCCAAAGUGCUGGGAUUACAGGCGUGAUGGAGAUGAUACUCCCUAAAUCACAAGGGUGUGGUGUGAAGAUGAAAUGGCUGCACGUGACAGAGGAGUUGGAGAACAGGAAGCAAGUGGAUUACUUGGAUGAACUGUGAUGGGCCCAAGAAGAACUAAGCCAAUCACUCCAGGGGGCGUUUUCCCAGGAUCCAGGCAGAGAGCUGAUUCCAGCAUCCACGUUGUAUCCCCCUCCCGCUGUGGCCGGGGUCUCCAAGAGCCGGGCACCCACUGCAGAGCUUCCAAGCCCAGGCCCAUUUGAACACAGGAGGACUUUUGAGGUUCAUUUAACCCCAAAAUCAGUGAUUCUACAUCUCAAGCUCAUAUUUUGAAGUGUUUACGGAGAAAGGAGUUCAUGAAGGCAGAAAUGCCUGGGGCCCACGAACAUCCCAGUGUGGCCCUGGACGGGACAUCAUGCUGGGCAACACAGCUAAAAUGCGGGUGAAGACCAGAUUUCUUGCACAUGGCGGUGACGGGAUGCUCCCUAGAGAGCUUCAAGUGGAUUCUUUGCUUUUUAUUUUCUCUCUUAAUAAAAAUGUAUGAUGUUUACAUUGUCAGAGAACAAAC
rnacentral:lncRNA from 10 species